rnacentral:misc_RNA from 1 species
AACUUUUAGCAAUGGAUCACUUGGCUCUCGCAUCGAUGAAGAACGCAGCGAAAUGCGAUACGUAAUGUGAAUUGCAGAAUUCAGUGAAUCAUCGAAUCAUUGAACGCACCUUGCGCCCCUUGGAAUUCCGAGGGGCACACCCGUUUGAGUGUCGUGAACAUCCUUCAACCUUUCUUGGUUUCUUGACCGGGGAAGGCUUGGACUUUGGGGGUCUUUCAUUGCUGGCCUCUUUGAAGCCAGCUCCUCCUAAAUGGAUUAGUGUGGUCUGCUUUGCCGAUCCUUGACGUGAUAAGAUGUUUCUACGUCUUGGGUUUCGCACUGUCGCUUUAGACCCCGCUUCUAACCGUCUUGCAUUCAAGACAGAGUUUUAAACCUUGACCUCAAAUCGGGUGAGACUACCCGCUGAACUUAAGCAUAUCAAUAAGCGGAGGCU